UAUAGGUGUAUAUAUAUAUAUAUAUAUACUAUAUUAAUAAGCAUAUCCAAAGGGCAGAAAUGGUCAUUUGUCCAUUUACAACACUUGGAAGCAUAUUGUACAAUGUUGCAAAGCACAAAUUAAUUUCAACAAAUUUCAAACAUCCUGAAAUCUCACUUGGGCGGGAUUUAGAUGAGCGGGCCUUUAAAAUUCAAAAUCAAAAUACUUCAGAUCUAAAUUCUCUUUUGCAAACCCUAGAUUCCCAGACUUUCUUUUUUUCCCCUUUCAUACACACACCUUACAGAGUGAAAGAGAGAUGGCAGAGAGAGAUACGAGAGCCAUUCAAUGGUUCUGACAGCCGACGGUCUCUACAAUUGCCAUUCAUCACCAAGUUUUGCUUCAAAGUCACCCUUCUAACCUAAAUCACUACCCCUGACCCUCAUUUUCAUCAAUCGCCGCUCUUCACCAAACCCUAACGUUCUUCACCAGAGCCACCGCCUCCCCCACCCCGCCGCACAAUUCUCUCCGUCAUCAUCACGACCACCGCCUCUCUCACCACCAAACACGAAGACAACGGUGAUUGACACGACUGGGUUCUGAUUGGAGUUUCAAGGACAACAUAUAUUGAACCGAUUUGAAGUUGCUAGGGUUUCGGUAUGAAAACUCAAGAAUCUCUUCUUAAAAUCAAAUCUAUAGAAGCAAGAAGCUUGAUGAUUCCGGUCGAGGUGAACAUUGCAACCAUGGAGAGGUUACGGUUUUUGGUGUCAAGAAAGCUCGACAUACCGGAUUAUCGGUAUCUUUAAAGUCAGAGACGAGGGCUCUGGUAUUGAAGAAAUUAGUUCCCCUGCGACGAUUAUUGUAGAUAAAUAAUCAGUCAAGAGGGAGCCAAGGGGGUUUGGAUUUGUGCAGUUUGUAGAUCCCGCUGAUGCUGCAGAAGCAAAAUACCAGAUGGAAGGUCAGGUUUAUCAAGGGAGAGAAUUGACAGUUUUUUUGCUGAGGAAAACUGAUAUGAGAAUGAGAGAGCGGAACUCUUGAAGCUAGGGAAGAUCAAGGAUAGUCGAGAUGGAGUAACAAGGAGGUAACUUGAAGUCGACCUUCAUUAAUAGAGUGAAGUUGUAUACGGUGGCGGGACCGCUUGCUGGCCACUUGGCUACCACCGAAUAAGCUUAGACCUCUUCGCAAAGGCAAAAGUACGGAUUGUGUUGAUUGUCUUUUCAGGAGGAUAACAAGCAGCCCAUUCAACAUCCAGUGUUCAAAAGGCGAAAAUGACACAGAAGAAAACACUUUGAGAACCAAGAACCUUGCAUAAUGAGAGGGGUAUAUUAUAAGAACAUGAAAUGGCAAACUACCAUUAAAGUGGACAAAAAACAAAUCCAUCUAGGUACAGUUGGCUCCCAACAAGAAGCUGCUUGUUUCUAUGACAGGGCCGCUUUCAUGUGUGGUAGAGAACCGGACUUUGAGCUCACGGCUAAGGAGAAGGACGAACUCAGUAAACUGAGUUGGGAUGAUUUUUCUUAACCAUGACUCGGUCAGCAAUAAACAGCAAAAAACAUCAGAGACGGGUUAGUUCCCGAAUGAAGUUCGAGCAUCCGUCACAUAACAGCAGUGACCCGCAUACGAAGGCGGAUCAAGGAGGAAAGAGUUUCUCAGGAUCAGGAUCUGAAGAUGUUGAGACAUUGGGUUCCUGAUGAUUUAAAACUUUAUUAUUGGCAUUUCUUUUGUUAAAACAUUAUAAUCUCUAGCUCUAUUUUUAACAAGUUUUAUGUUAUAACGCGCAUUUUAGGAGCA